rfam:Schistosoma haematobium scaffold227_23, whole genome shotgun sequence.
GCAUUGCUCAGGAGUCCCAUACUAGGACGAAACGGCCGUCCAGUGC